UACGGAGGGUGCAAGCGUUGUCCGGAUUUAUUGGGUUUAAAGGGUGCGUAGGCGGCUUUUUAAGUCAGUGGUGAAAGACAACAGCUCAACUGUUGCAGUGCCAUUGAUACUGAAGAGCUUGAGUACAGAUGAGGUAGGCGGAAUUUAUGGUGUAGCGGUGAAAAUGCAUAGAUACCAUAAAGAACACCUAUUGCGAAGGCAGCUUACUAGCUGUAACUGACGCUGAGGGCACGAAAGUGUGGGGAUCAAACAGGGAUUAG
rnacentral:rRNA from 1 species